GUUGUAUGGUUAAGUGACUAAGCGUACAUGGUGGAUGCCUUGGCAGUCAGAGGCGAUGAAGGACGUACUAACCUGCGAUAAGCUGUGAGAAGUCGGUAAGAGACGCUAUUACUCACAGAUUUCCGAAUGGGGAAACCCACCCAAGAUAACUUGGGUAUCGUUACAUGAAUACAUAGUGUAACGAGGCGAACCGGGAGAACUGAAACAUCUAAGUACCCCGAGGAAAAGAAAUCAACCGAGAUUC
rnacentral:rRNA from 1 species